GGGGAAUCUUGCACAAUGGGCGAAAGCCUGAUGCAGCGACGCCGCGUGCGGGAUGAAGGCCUUCGGGUUGUAAACCGCUUUCAGCAGGGACGAGGCGAAAGUGACGGUACCUGCAGAAGAAGCCCCGGCUAACUACGUGCCAGCAGCCGCGGUAAUACGUAGGGGGCAAGCGUUAUCCGGAUUCAUUGGGCGUAAAGCGCUCGUAGGCGGUCUGUUAGGUCGGGAGUUAAAUCCGGGGGCUCAACCCCCGCUCGCUCUCGAUACCGGCAGACUUGAGUUUGGUAGGGGAAGGUGGAAUUCCUAGUGUAGCGGUGGAAUGCGCAGAUAUUAGGAAGAACACCAGUGGCGAAGGCGGCCUUCUGGGCCAUAACUGACGCUGAGGAGCGAAAGCUAGGGGAGCAAACAGGAUUAGAUACCCUGGUAGUCCUAGCCGUAAACGAUGGACACUAGGUGUGGGGGAGUAUUUCUUCCGUGCCGCAGCUAACGCAUUAAGUGUCCCGCCUGGGGAGUACGGCCGCAAGGCUA
rnacentral:rRNA from 1 species